GGCAUGGUGGCGCAGUGGUUAACGCUGCUGCCUCACAGCAAGGUUUGUGGGUUCGAAUCCAGCCUGGGGCC